rnacentral:rRNA from 1 species
UACAUUGACGUUAGUCACAGAAGAAGCACCGGCUAACUCCGUGCCAGCAGCCGCGGUAAUACGGAGGGUGCGAGCGUUAAUCGGAAUGACUGGGCGUAAAGGGCACGCAGGCGGUGACUUAAGUGAGAUGUGAAAGCCCCGAGCUUAACUUGGGAAUUGCAUUUCAUACUGGGUUGCUAGAGUAUUUUAGGGAGGGGUAGAAUUCCACGUGUAGCGGUGAAAUGCGUAGAGAUGUGGAGGAAUACCGAAGGCGAAGGCAGCCCCUUGGGAAAAUACUGACGCUCAUGUGCGAAAGCGUGGGGAGCAAACAGGAUUAGAUACCCUGGUAGUCCACGCUGUAAACGCUGUCGAUUUGGGGAUUGGGCUUAGAGCUUGGUGCCCGUAGCUAACGUGAUAAAUCGACCGCCUGGGGAGUACGGCCGCAAGGUUAAAACUCAAAUGAAUUGACGGGGGCCCGCACAAGCGGUGGAGCAUGUGGUUUAAUUCGAUGCAACGCGAAGAACCUUACCUACUCUUGACAUCCUAAGAAGAACUCAGAGAUGAGUUUGUGCCUUCGGGAACUUAGAGACAGGUGCUGCAUGGCUGUCGUCAGCUCGUGUUGUGAAAUGUUGGGUUAAGUCCCGCAACGAGCGCAACCCUUAUCCUUUGUUGCCAGCGAUU